GGGGCUAUUGGGGCUAUUCUGCCGAGUGCUCUCUCUCUCUCUCUCAACCCACACGCAACGCAACGCAAACGGUGUGCGGAUACCCAAACUUCUCACUCCUCCGCUCCCUCUCAUGGCUCCCAAAAACCUCGCAUCCAGUAAAAGAAGACCCAAAGAAGACGAUAUGCCAACUCCAGCUUACGCUAAAGAGCAAUCCGACCAAGGAGCCGGUUCCAAUUCCGCCAGCGGAGCAGCAGGAAAAGCCGCCACGAUACUCGUGCCGGCGAAGAAACCCAAAUUCGCCACGCCCUUCAAACAGCCAGCACCGGAACCCGUCGAAAACGGUUCUGCAUGCUCCUCACCAUCCGCAUCCGGCUUCAUUAUAGCGCCCUCGCAGAAGCCCCGCAGGGAGAAGAAGACCACCCCCGUGGCCAAGGUAUUCACUGACGACGAUGUGAUUUCGCUGCUGAAAGGGCUCGCUGUUUUCUGGGCGAAUGGCAGGAACAAUAAGUGGGCGGAAUUUCACCACUUCGUCAAGGAUGAUCUGCCGAAUCAGUUCACCAAGACUCAGGUAUCGGAGAAGAUUCGGAACCUGAAGAAGAAGUUCGAUGCUAAUGUGGGGAGAGCUAGGGCGAAUGGGGGCCGGAUCUUUCUGUCCGACCCUCACGAAUCGGCUGUGUUUGAGCUGUCGAAGGCCUUGUGGGGAGAUGAUAGCGGCAUUGCGCAGGAGAAGGGGGGACUGAGUGAGAAUGGGGAUGGAGAGGUGCUUGAGAAUGAUGAAGGAAGUAAGAGCAGGAAGAAGCGGAAACAAGUGGGUGAGCACGGUGAAGAGACCGAGAAAAUGAGGAAGCGGGAGCACGGAAUAGAGGAGGUAUUUAAAGAAGGAGGCGAGGGUGAAGCAGCCAACGCGGUAUUGGAGGAAGGCGACGUGCGUGAUGCAGCCAACACGAUUCUCAGCAUAAGGAAACUGGUCGAGAAAGAUGGCGAAAGCAGCAAAAAAAAGAGGAAGAAGAAGAAGAAGAAGAGGAAACAAGGGAAUGAAAUAGCGAUGGAAGGGAUGCAGGUGGAGGGGACUGAUGAGGGAAACAAGAUAUCCACCAAACAGAAGCAAGUCGAUGGGAGUGGUGAAAGAAACAAGAAGACGAGGAAAACAAAACUAGUGGAUGAAUGUGGAGAAGUUUUGAAAGGGAAUCAAGCGGAUCAGCAUGAAGAAGAAGAGUUAUUGAUAGAAGGGAAACAAGUAGAUGAGCAUGAAAAACAAGACAAGACAUCUAAGAAGCAAAAACAAGUAGAUGGACAUGAUGUGGAGAAAGAUUUAUCUAAACAAGGGAAGCGAGCGGAUGACCACCGUGAAGAACACGAUAUACCAUUACCAGCAAACCAAACACAGAAGAUGGGGAUUAGUGUCGAUGAUUUUCGGUCUGCAUGCCCACUCUUGUAUGCAUCAUUUAACAUCUUUGGCCCCAAGUUUGCCAUGAAGGAAUGUGUUUCCAUUAGUCCAGAGAAUGCACUUGAGCUUGAAGAGAAGUGGAGGAAACUCAAUGCCGAGUUGCAUCGCUUGGAGCUUAAAAAGCUUGAUAGGAAGCACAGAGUAUGUUUGUUUUUAACAGCUGCUCAUACCAUCAUCUCGACUUAGUAGUAAAGACAUUCUUUGUUGUGAUGACCUUGUAACAUUUGCAGUUUCCUGAGAUCCAAUGGCUGGUUCUCUUUAAGCAUUGAUGGAUUCCCAUUUCUGUGACUUGUUAGGUGCUCUUGAAGAUAUUUGGAUUAGUGUAUUGUGAGGUGUAGAUCUUUGGGAUGAUCAUGAUGCUGGAAUCCUUGUUGGGAUUUCUGGAGCUGCUGCUAGGCAUGUCAAUAUGAUACUAUCGGUAAAAUGGAGCAUAAAUUAUGGAUCGCUGUCAAUAAAUUUUAUCUUCGGACCAUUCGUGUUAGUAUCCUCUAGUGCGUCUGUGUUUCUUGAAUGUAUUUCAAAUAUUGCAUAAGAUGUGGAUGUCAAUUAUCAAUAAUCACUAGAGAAGAUAACCAUUUCGAGUCUUAUCAAAA